CACCUAUCAGCUAGCCCCACCCCUCAACAACAACAAAUCAACAUAAAUAACCCCAAAAACACGCAAGAUUACACGAACUAAACCAUUCUCCCACCCUAGUAUGGGCGACAGAAAAGGAACUAGUGGAGCAAUAGAGAAAGUACCGCAAGGGAACGCUGAAAGAGAGAUGAAAUAGCCCAGUAAAGCUUAAAAAAACAGAGAUUUAAACUCGUACCUUUUGCAUCAUGAUUUAGCUAGCACCCUCAAGCAAAGAGCCCUUUAGUUUGAUAACCCGAAACUAGGUGAGCUACUCCAAGACAGCCUAUCAAUUAGGGCGAACCCGUCUCUGUGGCAAAAGAGUGGGAAGAGCUUCGAGUAGAGGUGACAGACCUACCGAACCUAGUAAUAGCUGGUUGCCUGGGAACUG
rnacentral:rRNA from 1 species